rnacentral:sRNA from 1 species
CGUCUCACCAGAGUAGGGAUGCUCUUCCGCUUCUCCUUAGUGCUGCCUCCAAACCAAUGCACCAUCACCAACCAAGUCUCCUCUCGGAAGAACGCGUUUGUGAAGAAGACAUUCUAUCUGGAUGAAGCAACUACAGAAGUGCAGGCAAGACAUUGUGCUGCCGUCGCUGAGUGUGGCUUAAAUAAAAAAGCAUGUUUAUGUGGGAGAGAAUGUGUGGGGGUUGCUUUCGCAUUAUGGAAUUCUUAAAAUUGUUGAACCGGCAAGAUGUUAUUCAGAAACCCCUGGUGGCUUCAGCUUGUUUUUUGUUUAUUUCAGGUUUCUUUUUUCCCCCAUUUUUAAUUAUCUCUGGAAAAACUCAAGAGUCCUCCCCUGCUCCUAAAAUAGUUAUAAAAUUAAUGUGCUGUACUCAAGUCGUUACUCCACGUAAAAGAGUAAAAGACUCCCAUAUUAA